rnacentral:rRNA from 1 species
CCUACGGGAGGCAGCAGUGAGGAAUAUUGGUCAAUGGACGAGAGUCUGAACCAGCCAAGUAGCGUGAAGGAUGACUGCCCUAUGGGUUGUAAACUUCUUUUAUAGGGGAAUAAAAUGUUCCACGUGUGGGAUUUUGUAUGGACCAUAUGAAUAAGGAUCGACUAACUCCGUGCCAGCAGCCGCGGUAAUACGGAGGAUCCGAGCGUGAUCCGGAUUUAUUGGGUUUAAAGGGAGCGUAGGUGGAUUGUUAAGUCAGUUGUGAAAGUUUGCGGCUCAACCGUAAAAUUGCAGUUGAAACUGGCAGUCUUUAUUCCAGUAGAGGUGGGCGGACUUCGUUUUGUAGCCG